ensembl:lncRNA
AUUCCUUUGAGUGGGGUUUGAAUGCCUGAUUGUUAUGCUACUGUAUAAUCUCUGUUACUGUAGGAUAUCUUUCUCUCAGUGGGUUUUUAUCUCUAUCUACGUUCACCGAAACACUGAGGUUUCUGUUGUUACCAGCUCUAACCACUGGGGGGAGACAAACAAAAUCCUAUUUUAUCCUCAACAGAUUGUCUAGAGCCCCAUAGUAAGUAACCACUAGAAGUCUGGAAGCACAAGCACCUACUUUUUGCUUAAUCAUACGUUAUUGUUAUAUACCAUGGUGAGAUAGCUUUUGAAACAAAUCCGGUUCUCAGCAUUGAUGGUGUUGGUUGUUCCUCGGAUUACCAUUUGCAUAGAGAGGACACUUUGCAUUAGCAGUGCAUGCUUCAGUGGUCUGGGAGUGUUUAUAUCCCUGUGAGUUUAACACUUCAUGACUGAGAGCUGUCCUUCAUGACAACAGAACCCACAACAACCAUGACUUUUAGCACCAUCUUCAUCUGGAUACUUGCCCUCUGUCUCCAAGAGGCCAGUACACUGUGACUCAAGACUCCUGCAGUGUAAACUAUUUCAGUGGGACACUCAGUCAGUCUCAGCUGUAAGACAGCAGUGCUGUAUACAGUGAGGGCAAUGGACACUAUUUGCACUGGUAACAACAGAAACCUGGAGGAGCUCCUAAACUCCUGAUAGACUCCUGAUAUACCCUUCAGUCUGGGACUCCAUCUAGAGUCAGUGGCAGUGGAUCUGGGAGUGACUUCAGUCUGACCAUCAAGGGAGUCCAGGUUGAAGAUGCAGGAGAUUACUGUUGUCAGUGCUGAGGGGAAGACAGUGACAUGGAAGACUGAUCAGUAGAGGAGGUCAACUUUGAAAAUGGCUAGAAAGUAUCAUACAAAUCACACGUUCUCCAACAUCGUCAUAACUGUCCUAAUCUUCAUGAUCAUCAUCAUCAUCAUGGCUGUAACUUGUUAUAUUGGUUCAUGAACUCAAAGUUUAUAUAAAAGUUAUUUGUAGUUUUGGAACACAUUACCAGUCCAUAUGCAGAGUAAGAUGUACAGAAGGAAAAAUAAUAGGGAUGUUAUUGAUGAUAACCAGUUAUUGAUGUGAUCAUCUAGCAUGCAUUAACCAUUUUCAUGAGCUGUUAGAUCUGUGAAUGAGACAUGAUGUGUUUGAGACACAUAUAUGUAGAUACAUACACUUUACGCUAUUAUCAUAAAGUACAAUAACCAUUUUAUCUGUCUAUUAAUUACAUGGUGAAUCCACCAUAGAUGUUAAACCAGUCCACUUCCUCACAUCUGGCCCAGCCCAGGGUAUUUCACUUAGUUAAACUGUUCAACUGCUAGACUGAUAGCUGUGAGAGUGAAACUGAGAUUUGCAUAAACAGGGAUUGUUGAUUCUGCUUGUCCCAGAAUAGAGCAGCACUGUCACCAUGUUAGCAAUUCAACAUUAUAAAUAUAUUUGUUAUGGAAAGUAACUGUUUAGCAGUGUGAGUUCUGAGAGCCGAUCUCAGAGGUUUAUUAUCACUUGUAUUGGAGCUACAGUAUAACAGGAUCAUUCAGUUGUAGAAAUUAUUGCAGAGUUUUUGUUGGAUCAGAUGCCUUUUUCAUUCUGUUUGAAAAAAUUAGAGUAGCGAUAUGCUACAAUGCUGAAAUAAUAGAAAAAGAUUAUUGAUGUAAAUUAGUAUUGAAACGUGCUGCAAAUUCAUAAGAUAGUGAUCACAGGAAUCAUGAUAAAAUCAACUAUUGGGGUUAUAUUUCAAUUAAAACAAUCUUUAUCUCAGAGGCAAGAAGACAUGUACAAUUUUUUUUCACCUUAAUUUAACCAGGUAGGCCAGUUGAGAACAAGUUCUCAUAUACAACUGCGACCUGGCCAAGAUAAAGCAAAGCAGUGCGACACAAACAACAACAUAGAGUUACACAUGGAAUAAACAAAUGUACAGUCAAUAACACAAUAGAAAAGUCUAUAUACAGUGUGAGCAAAUCAGGUAAGAUUAGGGAGGUAAGGCAAUAAAUAGGCCGUAGUGGCGAAGCAAUUACAAUUUAGCAAUUAAACACUGGAGUGAUAGAUGUGCAGAAGAUGAAUGUGAGAUACAAGAGAUACUAGUAGAGAUACUGGUGGGCAAAGGAGC